UACGGAGGGUGCAAGCGUUGUUCGGAAUCAUUGGGCGUAAAGGGUGCGUAGGUGGUGAGGUAAGUCGGAUGUGAAAUCUCCAAGCUCAACUUGGAAACUGCAUUGGAAACUACCUUGCUAGAGGAUUUGAGGGGGGAUUGGAAUACUUGGUGUAGCAGUGAAAUGCGUAGAUAUCAAGUGGAACACCAGUGGCGAAGGCGAAUCCCUGGAAAAUACCUGACACUGAGGCACGAAAGCUAGGGGAGCAAACAGG
rnacentral:rRNA from 1 species